rnacentral:rRNA from 1 species
CAAGUCGAACGAAUCCCGGGUAGCAAUAUCCGGGGGAAGUGGCGAAAGGGGCAGUAAUGUAUGGGUAACGUACCCGGGGGUCGUGGAUAGCCUUCCUAACGGAUGGGUAAUACACGGCGAUUCGGUGAGGGGACAUCCUCUUGCCGGGAAAGAAUUUCGCCUCCGGAGCGGCUCAUAUCGUAUUAGCUAGUUGGUGAGGUAACGGCUCACCAAGGCGAAGAUGCGUAGCGGGUGUGAGAGCACGACCCGCGCCACUGGCACUGAGACACUGGCCAGACACCUACGGGUGGCUGCAGUCGAGGAUCUUCGGCAAUGGGCGAAAGCCUGACCGAGCGACGCCGCGUGGAUGAUGAAGGCCUUCGGGUUGUAAAAUCCUGUCGAGGGGGAUCAAGGGCAACUUGAGUGAUCCCUGGAGGAAGCACGGGCUAAGUUCGUGCCAGCAGCCGCGGUAAGACGAACCGUGCAAACGUUAUUCGGAAUCACUGGGCAUAAAGGGCGCGUAGGCGGCUUCACAAGUCAGGGGUGAAAUCCGGCAGCUUAACUGUCGCAGUGCCUUUGAUACUGUGAAGCUCGAGGGAGGUAGGGGUCUGUGGAACUUCCGGUGGAGCGGUGAAAUGCGUUGAUAUCGGAAGGAACGCCGGUGGCGAAAGCGACGGACUGGAUCUCUUCUGACGCUGAGGCGCGAAAGCUAGGGGAGCAAACGGGAUUAGAUACCCCGGUAGUCUUAGCCCUAAACGAUGGGUACUAGAUUGCGGACUUACAUGGGUUCGCAGUCGAAGCUAAUGUUUUAAGUACCCCGCCUGGGGAGUAUGGUCGCAAGGCUGAAACUCAAAGGAAUUGACGGGGGGCUCA